rnacentral:rRNA from 1 species
GACGAACGNNGGCGGCGUGCUUAACACAUGCAAGUCGAACGAAGAGCGAUGGAAGCUUGCUUCUAUCAAUCUUAGUGGCGAACGGGUGAGUAACGCGUAAUCAACCUGCCCUUCAGAGGGGGACAACAGUUGGAAACGACUGCUAAUACCGCAUACGAUCUAAUCUCGGCAUCGAGGAUAGAUGAAAGGUGGCCUCUAUGUAUAAGCUAUCACUGAAGGAGGGGAUUGCGUCUGAUUAGCUAGUUGGAGGGGUAACGGCCCACCAAGGCGAUGAUCAGUAGCCGGUCUGAGAGGAUGAACGGCCACAUUGGGACUGAGACACGGCCCAGACUCCUACGGGAGGCAGCAGUGGGGAAUCUUCCGCAAUGGACGAAAGUCUGACGGAGCAACGCCGCGUGAGUGAUGACGGCCUUCGGGUUGUAAAGCUCUGUUAAUCGGGACGAAAGGCCUUCUUGCGAAUAGNGAGAAGGAUGA